UACGUAGGUGGCAAGCGUUGUCCGGAUUUAUUGGGUUUAAAGGGUGCGUAGGCGGCCUUUUAAGUCAGUGCUGAAAUACUCUAGCUUAACUAGAGGGGUGGCAUUGAUACUGAAAGGCUUGAGUGAAGUCGAAGUAGGCGGAAUUGACGGUGUAGCGGUGAAAUGCUUAGAUAUCGUCAAGAACACCUAUAGCGAAGGCAGCUUACUAGGCUGUAACUGACGCUGAGGCACGAAAGUGUGGGGAUCAAACAGG
rnacentral:rRNA from 1 species